AUUCCAUUCACCAGACCCUCUGCCUUCCGGAAGACAAGAUCAAGACCAUAAAAAAGGAAAUCAGACGAAUCUUACGAGCUCCAGACUUAUCAAUCAGACAACUGGCUCGAAUCAUAGGCCUGCUUGCCUCAUCCAUCCAGGCAAUAUUUCCAGGUCCAUUACACUACCGGGCACUGCAAAGACUCAAGGGCUCCUAUCUCCGUACUGGCCACACAUACGAAACGCGUCUCACUCUCGACACAGAGUCCAGAGGGGAACUAGUUUGGUGGCUCGCCC